rnacentral:snRNA from 1 species
GUGCUCACUUUGGCAGCACAUAUACUAAAACUGGAACCAUACAGAGAAGAUUAGCAUGGCCCCUGCGCAACGAUGACACACAAAUUCGUGAAGCGUUCCAUACUUUA